UUUUAAUGGUUAUUACUGUGGAAAAGAAUGUGUUAACAAUCUUUGAAACAUUCGGGUAUCGAACUCAGGACCCCCACAUUACUAGUUAUGUGAUUUAACUAUUUAGCUACCCGACCAAUACACAAAAAAUGGUAGUUUUACUACAAUAUAAAAUUUCAACAUCUUUUGGAAAACUCGCACAAGAACUCUUCAUAUCAAGGAGAUGAAAAAAAUGAUUCAAGAUAAAAUAUCAGAAAUGUCACAUGUAUCCUUAAUAUCAAAGAAUGAUUGAAGAGCUCAUGAUCUUGAUCUGAACAAUUUGAAUAAUGCUCGGGAUGUCUAUGUUUUUGUCUCGGGCUCGUGAUUCUGUCGAUAUUAUGUCUUGUUUAUUUUCUGUUUGUACUGAGAUUCUUCGUGAUGUGUUUUAUACCAUUCAUUCCUGUUAUGUAGGAUGUUAUCUACUUAGAGACUGGUGUGGAGGACGGCACCUACCCUUACACAUGAACAUUGAUUGAAGCUGUCUGGUACAUUAUCAGUAGAGUACAGCGCACUGUACGCCCGAUCAGAGAAGUUUGUCGAAAAAGUAGCAGUGAAUAAUAGGAAGGACAUAUUGUGUCACGGUGUUUGAUAAAAGGUGUUGUUCCUCUGGAAACUUUUUUUGAUCGUCUUCUCUGGGAUAGCUGGAAAUAACCUCUCUGAAAUACAAGAAUGGAACAAGUUCUCAUUCUCAGCUGAUCAGGGACUUGUGUCAAGGAGGAGUGUUAGUGCGGAGAAGAAUUUGUCUCGGCCCAUCAUGACCUGCUGGUGGAGGCUGGACACUUCAAUAAACAUUGCUGUGGUUUUCCUGGGGUGUACCAAUCAUUUGUAGUCAUUAUUUCCCACAUGAAGAGUCAGAGGAGUAUUCAUUUUUCUAGUAAUAAGUUGAGACUCUACAGAGCAUGAAGGCAGAUAUUACAGUUACCUGCCUUAGACAAUAUGAAUUGUAAUAUAGCACUUGCUAGUUAUGUAAUUUCAGAUGAUGCUGUUUGAAUGCUUUUAGUCUCGUCACUAGUCACAUUAAGACAUUAGCUAUAACUGCAUAUAUUGCCUUUACAUUAAUUAUCUGCAUAGAACUAAACAUUUAAUAGUAGAUUUCAUGUAGUACUACAUGACUCUCUAGGAAUGCAUUUUAGGUCACCUGAGUCACUCGAGUGACCUAUUGGUAUUGUUCUGCGUCCGUUGUCGUGCAUCGUCCACCUACAAUUGAACAUUUUUAUACACCCGUCUUAGGACGGAUCGUAUUAUGAACAGCAAUGUGUACGUUUGUCAGUCCAUUUGGGGGUUCCUGUUUCUAUUUUUAUUUUUCUAUCAAGUAUUAAACCGUUAUUGUGUAGUUUCUUUAUGGGUCACUCUUGAUCAUGUUUCAGCUUUGACUGAUUUCAGUUUUCAAGUAAGGAUUAAGUUAUUUUACAGUUUUUGUUUUGGAACGAAAGAUGUACGUGUAGGGGAAUGGGUAGUUUAUUCUAGGAGGGACCAAACUUGGCAUGUAGUGUAUAUGUGUAAAACAUUGAAUAUCAUCUUCUUUAAUGUUAUCGAUGGACACCACAAUUAUAAAUUUCAAGAUUCUGGGGUAAGGAUUUGGGUAUCAGAGUGGGACCUGAAUAAUCUUUGUGAUUUAUUGUCUUUCACAUAUCAAAGUACCCUUACUACCGACAAAUGCAUAUAGGAAAAACAAAAAAUGUACAGUAUACCAAAAAAUUGUAAAUCUCACAACCAUAGGUUACACAUCAGGUGUGAGUCAAUAAUUCAAUGCUCCUCUGUAAGGUUCAAGAUCUAGGGCAGGGUUAAUGUAGGAACAUUGUUGUAGAUUUCUUAGUCUUAGUCAUACCUUUAACUAAUAGGCCUUUCCUAAAACGUGAGUUAUCUCUCUUUGUAUUCUUACAUUUAGUGUGAAUAUUUCCAGGUACAUGUAGUUACACAAUCAGACUGCUCAUAUAUUUUAAGAGUUAUAUUAAUAUAGCAUUAUUAGUAUAAAUGCUGUUUAAAAUCGAAAACAGUUGAAAUCAUUUGUACGAGAGAGUAAGAAAAUGUUAAUGGAAACAACAAAGAAUUUCUUGAUCGAGUUGGGUGUGAUUUUUCGGGGUCUGGGGAAUUUUGAAAAUUGAAUAGGAAAUCACGACGGCAUUCAUUUGUUUACAUAUGUCUCCAAUAACGACUGACAUAAUCAUAUUGCUCAAAAGAUGAUGGCAACUCAUCAACUCAAAUUUGGGGUUUUUACUAGGAUCGACACGUCACGUGCAUUGAUCUUGCAUAUCAUGGUACCUCCUCCCCCCUUCUAAAAUGAAUUUUUGAAAAUAUAAAUUAGGAAAUCAGUGUUCUCACUGUUUUACCAGGGCUAAAAUUAUCCCACCACUACCAAUCAACUCUUUCAAAAAUAAACCAGAUUGCAAUUUUGGGUAACUUUCUCCAAAUUAUUCUGUGUGGAAAUCAUUUGCACAUGUGCAACAUGAAGAUUGGAUGGUUAAUAUCAACUGAUAUGUUUAAAAUGCACUAAAAUAGGUAAUUAAAUAAAUUAAAAAAAGCAUUACUUUUGUUCAAUAUUGCUCGAUUGAUAUAAAUUAUUUUCAUAGACAUGUGUGAUCUCGUGGGGGUGGGGGGUAUAGUCCAAAUGUACUCUCUGGGGAAUAGGUAAGUUUAACCCCCAAUAGAAUGUCUUUGACGUCUCUAUCUAAUUCCCUCUUUUAGUCGUUUUAGCCCCCUUCAAAUGUACUUGAUUAUGUAUAGGUACAUAUAGUGUCAUAACAGAAAUUGCAAUGGCAGAUAUAGAUCCCCCUUUUCGCCACAAAUUUACAAAAUAAUUCGAGUACAACUCCAAAAUUGAUAUUUUACCCAAAUGGCUGUAUUUACAGGUACAUACUUUUCCCAACUUAUUUAAUGUAUUGCUAUAAAUUCAGGGGGUUCGACUAUAGUUAUUUUAUUUUCAAAACAUUGCAUGUGUAAAUGUCACUUUAAAGAUGGUUUGUGACAAUGAAUUUCUUUAUGGUUCUACUUGUAUUUGAAACUGUAUAAAGUUUGUGGACAGACAGCUGGAAAUCUGUCAGUGGCCUCUCAUUUACAACUUAGUACAGGCUUGGUUAAAUUUUACUUGCCAAUCGAAGGAGGUGGACAUUUUCAGAAUGCAGUGGUGUCAGUCCGACAUACCUAGAUGUACAUCGUGGCAUAACUUUCAUCGCUGAAUGUACUACAUUAAUAUUGAACAAGUAACAUCUGAUAUUUUAUUAUAAAUCUGACUGCAUUAAAACAUGGGGUAACAAUCCUCAGGAAAUGUAUGCUAUAUAUUGUGAUAUAUACUAAUUUCAGUCAUAAAACACGUGAAAUCCUGGAGGGGGGUAGUUAGAAUAAUCUAAUUGCGUCUCGGGACAGGCCCGUCGUAGGAAAUUGCAUCACUUUAACGAUAGAACAUUCUAAUGGGAAAGGGAUGUCCUCUAUUUACAACAUUUAUUUCUUUUAUUCUUUUUUGCAAAGUUGGUUAUUUUUACGUGUAUGAAGGAAACAUAUGCAUUGUGAUUUUUUAUUAACGUUAAUAUAUUUGUUAGCUUGGUUGCUGUAAAAUUAUUCAGUAAUAUCUUUGCGGCCUUCUGCACCGUUGAUAAUGACGCUUCUCGAAUAUACUACCAGGAAGUCUUGAACUACUGUUAUGCAAGCGCACUACCUUCCGGAUCAAGGGAAGAUAACUCAUGUUUUCAUAUUGGCCUAUACUCAGGUGACCGAUGAGGCCUGUGAGUCUCCGGUUUACAUGUUGUCAUGAAACAGACAACAAGCUGGCUUACCAAACUUGUCUUGAAAAAUACACUGAACAAAAUUUUACUUUCCUGUCUGAUUUCUGGUCAUUCCAGCACUCAUUGCCACCUUGGUUUUUCAGUUUUCUGGGCUUCAAACGAUGGUGAGACAAUGACUGCAGGAUCAUUUCCUGUCUCUUAAAAGCAGAAGUGGCCAGGAUACCUUACCAACCGAUCCAUUUUUAGGGAUGGUGUUUUGUAUCGAGCUGGGUAGCAGUUACUGGAGAUGUCCAGCUGAUUGAUGAGGAUAAUUUCCCCGAUCCGCUGACAUAAUUAGAUAUGAAAAUAUCAACUGCUAUAGAACAUGUCAGCUUUCAGAUUCUUCCCCAAUGUAAACCGCCUUGGAGAAUAGAGCGUUUACUUCGCAUGCGGAAGAUCGGGGCUCGAAUCCCGGCCGCGACAGACCAUAGUCGUUAAAAUAGCCAGUGCCAGUCCUAUCACCAAACUCUCGGCUUCAGGUGUGGAUGUCACGGGUCCUCGGAGAUGACCUUAAAAACGAAUGUCCCGUGUCACAAUUGAAAGAGCAUGGUAAAUAUUUGGAAAUGGUGGGGGCUACUGCGACAGAUUCAUACUCACCAUUGAAGCCUCAUCCAAAAUGUGUAAAAGCCUAAAUCAUGUGACUAUUUGUGCGGGAAUCUACUUGGGACGGUGGAGAUUUAAAUACCUGUUGUGAUGUUAUUGAUUGUAAACAGAAGACGGUGACCUUGGAUCUAAAGAUCACUCUCUGUUAUAGUACAUGUACUACAAAUCUAACAGUGUCUAACUCAGCCACAAAGAGGUUGUCUCUGAUGUCCACACAUAAACCCCAUGGCUCGCGUAAAUCACAGUGAAUGUAACGGAGGAACUGUCCGUCCUGAUCUAGGAUGUGGAUACGGUGAUUGUCACUGUCUGCUGUCAGGAUGUGACUCUGGCUGUCUGUAGUGAUGCCGGCUGGAUUAAAUGAUUGCUUGGUAUUAGAGGGAUGACCAGUGUAUCUAAAUCGGAGUUUUCCUGACUGAUUGACCACCACUACUGCUCUAACGUCACAGUCAGCCACACAGAUAUCCAGGUUCCUGUUCUCACUGAGGUCACCAACAUCUGAGUAGAGAGGACGACCCUGAUCAUCAAACUGAAUGCUUUGUGUCUCUGUGGAGCCGGAGUAACGCACGACUUUGUAUUGUUCUCCAUCAUCACUGAUCAUGGUAACCAGGAGAUUGUUACCCGCGGUACAGCAGACAUAUUGAGGUCCCCACCCCUGUAGUGUGAUCACGAUUGAGUUGAGUGGAAUAAUGAACCUCCAGAUAUCUAUGUACAUUCACACGUGUAUGAUUAAACGUGUGCUGCACUCACACAUGCGAGCUUAUUCUAUAUAACUGUUCGAGUCUUACUUCCUGAAUACUUUCUUGAACUAGUGAAUUAAAAAUUAAAUGAAUUGACUUUC